AAGUAUUGUAGCUUUCUUAGAAUUUGUCUAGCAGGGUUUCCGGUCUACCCCAGAAGGCCCAU
rnacentral:snRNA from 1 species